rnacentral:lncRNA from 10 species
CGGCUGCGUCUGGGCCGGGGCAGGCGGUUCGGCCACCGGGGUGCGGGGCUGCGGAGAAUCCUAGCGGCCGCUACGGACCGAAGUUUCCAAAGAUGCGGUUCCCCGAGUGUACACCGCUCCCGGUUGUAACAUACACCUAGUAUUCACAGUCACACUAGGCAGGAGCGAUGGGCUGGCUGCUGAACCAAGGCAACUGCACGCCUGCUCUCUCACCCCCGCUCCACACACACCGUAAACAAAAUGAAGAGAGAUGGUGUCUCGCUCUGUCACCCAGGCUGGAGUGCAGUGGUGAUCACGGCUCACUGCAAUCUCGACCUCCUGGGCCCAGGCAUCCUCCUGACUCAGCCUCCUAAAGCUUAGGAUUGCAGAUGUGAGCCACCGCACCCAACCAAUAAAUACGGACUGUUGCAUGAAAAAUAAAAUAUCUAUAUUCAAAUCAAUGAACAUCUCUAAAAGCAAAUGAGUAAAGGGCAUAGACAAUCAUAAAAGGAAAAAAUUUAAAAACACAAAUGACAAAAAGCUCAUAUCAGUAAUAACCAAAUGCAUACAAUUUUAAAGCAAUGAUCAGGUGCAUUUUUUCUUCCUUUGCAAUUAG